CCGGCACGGUGAGUAACGCGUAUGCAACUUGCCUAUCAGAGGGGGAUAACCCGGCGAAAGUCGGACUAAUACCGCAUGAAGCAGGGGCCCCGCAUGGGGAUAUUUGCUAAAGAUUCAUCGCUGAUAGAUAGGCAUGCGUUCCAUUAGGCAGUUGGCGGGGUAACGGCCCACCAAACCGACGAUGGAUAGGGGUUCUGAGAGGAAGGUCCCCCACAUUGGUACUGAGACACGGACCAA
rnacentral:rRNA from 1 species